GAUAACUGUGGUAAUUCUAGAGCUAAUACAUGCAGCAAGCCUUGACCCUUACGGGCAAGGCGCAGUUAUUAGAUCAAAAACCAAUCGGUUGUACUUUCGGGUAUAGCCGUUACUUUGGUGACUCUGAGUAACCACAGCGAACCGUAUGGCCUCGUGCUCGACGGUCUGUCAGUCAAGCAACUGCCUUAUCAGCUUGUUGUUAGAUUAUAUGCCUAACAAGGCUUCAACGGGUAACGAACGAUCGGGGUCGGAUAUCGGAGAGGGAGCUUGAGAAACGGCUACCACUUCCAAGGAAGGCAGCAGGCGCGCAAAUUACCCACUCUCGGCAUGAGGAGGUAGCAAUAAAAUGUAUCGAUGCGGGGCCUUUAGUGCCUUCGUAAUCGGAAUGAGUACACUUUAAAUCCUAUAACAAGGACCUAUUGGAGGGCAAGUCUGGUGCCAGCAGCCGCGGUAAUUCCAGCUCCAAUAGCGUAUAUUAAUGCUGCUGCGGUUAAAAAGCUCGUAGUCGGAUCUGGGUUUUCGGCGGGUACCACAUGUUGCUUCAUGCAGCAUGUUGUGUACUAGACGUGUCGCUUCGGUGACACUGCCAGUGUAAUGCUGUCUCAUGUAGGCACGUUAUGCUGGUCGCCGGAACCACGGGCCGGGUUGAGCAGCAUGCUCUUAAUUGAGUGUGUUGUUUACUCGGUGCGUUUACUUUGAAAAAAUUGGAGUGCUCAAAGCAAGCGUACAGUCGCUAUGCGGCUUGAACAGUGGUGCAUGGAAUAAUGGAAUAGGGCCUCGGUUCUAUUUUGUUGGUUUUAAGAUAUCGAGGUAAUGAUUAAGAGGGACAGACGGGGACGUUUGUAUUGCGACGUUAGAGGUGAAAUUCUUGGAUCGUCGCAAGACACACUAAUGCGAA
rnacentral:rRNA from 1 species